rnacentral:rRNA from 1 species
GAUGAACGCUGGCGGCGUGCCUAAUACAUGCAAGUCGAGCGAACAGACGAGGAGCUUGCUCCUCUGACGUUAGCGGCGGACGGGUGAGUAACACGUGGAUAACCUACCUAUAAGACUGGGAUAACUUCGGGAAACCGGAGCUAAUACCGGAUAAUAUAUUGAACCGCAUGGUUCAAUAGUGAAAGACGGUUUUGCUGUCACUUAUAGAUGGAUCCGCGCCGCAUUAGCUAGUUGGUAAGGUAACGGCUUACCAAGGCAACGAUGCGUAGCCGACCUGAGAGGGUGAUCGGCCACACUGGAACUGAGACACGGUCCAGACUCCUACGGGAGGCAGCAGUAGGGAAUCUUCCGCAAAGGGCGAAAGCCUGACGGAGCAACGCCGCGUGAGUGAUGAAGGUCUUCGGAUCGUAAAACUCUGUUAUUAGGGAAGAACAAUUGUGUAAGUAACUAUGCACGUCUUGACGGUACCUAAUCAGAAAGCCACGGCUAACUACGUG